GUGCCCUUCCAGCAAGGAGAGUGUGUCCCUGCUGGUAGUUAUGUGCAAUCUAGCUCUUUUUCACCAGAAACUCCUGAAACUUAUGUUGAUGUGACCAACAGAAGAGUUUGGCUCUGCUUUUAAUUGAAACAAGCAGCAGAGCUGGAACCUGUUGAAGAGAGUCUCUUCACAGCUAAAGCAAACUGCCAGGGUUCUUUUAUUCCAGCUCUAAGCAGGAAAAUAAAAAUCUGUCCACAGUAAA